CGGCGAAAUGUGUCAGGGAGUUGGUCCCAACCCGCACCAUCCAAACUAACCGUCAAGGACCGCGCUCUACGCUAAAAGUGGUCGUUUGGUUGGUGGUGCAAGGAGGUAACAAAAAUGUGAACCUCCAAGUUGGCAGAGCGCGCCAACCCGAGAAUCUGUUAGAGCGCAAUGGCGGAGGCCAUCCGGUGAGUUCAUUGUUACCACUGUUACACAAAGCACAAGUA